GCCGGGUGCGGUGAUGCGUGCCUGUAGUCCAAGCUACUUGGGAGGCUGAGGUGGGAGGAUCGCUUGAGCUUAGGAGUUCUGGGCUGUAGUGCGCUGUGUUGACUGGGUGUCCACACUGAGUUUGGCAUCAAUAUGGUGACCUCCCGGGAGCGGGGGACCACCAGGUUGCCUAAGGAGGGAUGAACUGGCCCAGGUCGGAAAUGGAGCAGGUCAAAAUUCCCGGGCUGAUCAGUAGUGGGAUCGCACCUGUGAAUAGCCACUGCACUCCAGCCUGGGCAACAUAGCGAGACCCUGUCUCU
rnacentral:SRP_RNA from 1 species